rnacentral:misc_RNA from 1 species
UACCACUAACCAGUUCAUUCUCAAUCUGCAAUCACUGCCAAUCAGUCACUUGACGAGUUUUGGGCGAGGCGUUUUCAAAAUACUUUCAAUACUUCAAUUUUAAUACUUAAAUCCUGACGCUUACAAAAAAGAGAAAAAAGAGGUAUGUUCUUGUGUUUUAUAGUUUAUUGUAAAGUACUUCACAUUCAUGGCAUAAAAGUGAUUAAAUUUUGUGUUUAAUUCGGCCUCGUGUUCGGCCAUGUUUUCGCUUCGCUCGUCUUCCUAAAUUUGCAACGUUAAAUUUUUACAAAUAUUCUUUGUUGUCCGUUUUUUAUCCGCGAAGAAAUGCUUGGAUAUGAUAUUCUGUUUGUGGUUUAGUUGAAUUUAUUUUACAAAUUUCUCAUUUUCGUACUAAAAGUAAGAUAUAUUUAAAAUGGUAUUUCGCUGUACUUUAUCACUUGUAGUGAAAUGAAGCAAGGAAGGACCUAAAUAAUUCUUUUAACUAAGGAAUUUUUGGUGAAAAAAAACCGCUUAUGAAUUGUACAAUUGUACAGUUAAAAAAAUUAUAAUAGAUCAGAGAUUCGGGAAAACGGGAAAAAUCGCAAAAAGGUUAAUUACCACAAUUGCUAAAUUCUGCCAUGAAAUGAAAAAAUACUGACCAGCCUGGCCUUGGUGGAAUAUUAAGAAAUUCUUUUUAAUAUUCUAGUUUAUAAAUUAUAAUGAUGGCCAUUACAAUUUGUAUCAACCAUUUUUUGCAGAAUGCCCAAGUACGAAAUGUCAGUCCCCUUAAAGGGGGCUGACAUUAAUACAUUAAAAGAAAUGUUUGACAAAGAAAAAUACGAGAUCUCCUAUGACGGGGCGGUUUUCCACUGCCGCCUCUUAAAUAAAGAGAGCAAGAGGUGCCUGAGGUGGCAGUGGAAAAGCCGUGUUAAACGCAAAUUGAAGCGGCUGGUAAAAAGAAAAAUUAUGCUAGAACAACCCAAACCACCACCUGUGGGAAAACCUAUAAGGAAGGUCAGAAGGCGAAGUAAAAUGUUACAUACAUACCUACGUACAUACAUACAUCUAUAAUGAAAUUAAUGCAGAAAAUGCAAAUUAAAGAAAUGAAUGUGGAAAGACUGAUGAGUGUAUUUGAAACGUAUGGAAAUAUCAUUAUUAUUCAAGUACUCGCUGACAAGGGAUACGCUUUUAUAACAUAAGUCGAUUUGAUGAUCACUAUCCUGCAGCUGAAGCCAUUUGUAGUAUGCAUGGAGAGAAUCUUGAUGGAAACGUUUUAAAGUGUUCUUGGGGAAAAGAACAGGUCCGAAGAAUCCGUACGCAGGACAUAUGGCGCCAGGAUAUGCACAAGGAGGUCCACACAUGCAGAAUCAAGGUGGUCCAAGAAAUGGUCAGCAAGGCCCGAAUGGAGUUCACAAUACGGGCCCUCAAGGAAGGCGGUAUGGGAUAUUGAAUACAGCCUGCGGGUUUCAGGCUGGUGUUUGACGCAAGAGAUUCCCAACCUUGGGAAACAUGAACCAAAAAAAAUGAUGCCAAAACUUGUGUUUGGUGGUCAAAAAAAGUGGAGGGAAAUUCUCUGGUUGAACUGUUGAGCGUCAAAAUUAACGUCUCUCAAUGUAAUGUGAGGAAAUUGUAAAGCUAUAUGUUUAUCAGUCAGGAAACACUGUAAAAAAGAACAUGUUAAAUCAUUGUCAUCUUUGUCUAGCUUAGAUAUGUGUUUCGGUAGAAAUGAA